rnacentral:tRNA from 1 species
AGCCCUAUAGUUCAACGGAUAGAAUGCAAGUUUCCUAAACUUUUGAUUCGGGUUCGAUUCCCGAUGGGGCUA